rnacentral:rRNA from 1 species
GCCCUUGGAAGGGGUGUAUUUAUUAGAUUAAAAACAUGCUCGUAGAUGCCAUCACUGGUGAUGGCUCGUGACUCCUCGAAUAUGCUAUGCUCGCUGAGGCGAUGGUUCAUUCAAAUUUCUUCCCUAUCAACUUUCGAUGUUUGGGUAUUGGCCAAACAUGGUUGCAACGGGUAACGGAGGGUUAGGGCUCGACCCCGGAGAAGGAGCCUGAGAAACGGCUACUACAUCCAAGGAAGGCAGCAGGCAUCGUCGUAGAUGCUCGUCGACACGGGGAGGUAGUGACAAUAAAUACUGAUACAAUGGCUCGUGAGGUCUUGUAAUUGGAAUGAGUACAAUUUAAAUCCCUUAACGAGGAACAAUUGGAUGCUCGUGAUAGUCGUCGGAGCCGCGGUAAUUCCAGCUCCAAUAGCGUAUAUUAAAGUUGUUGUGGUUAAAAAGCUCGUAGUUGAACAUGGCUCGUGUUAGGAAUGUCGCUGAUGGCGCGUGUACUGGCCCGGCCAUGUCCGUCGUAGUGAAGAACCCCAUGCAUGCUCGCUGAUAGUCGCUGAUAGCAGGACUUUUACAAGGGCAUGCUCGUGAUAGAUGCUCGUAGAUGUCGCU